rnacentral:lncRNA from 1 species
CUGAUAUACACUGACCAUAACUAUGAUUAGUGCAGAUAUUGCUCUGCUACCCGAUUUCCCAAACUGGCCAUAGGCUUCAUGGAUUUUGUAAACCAGCAACCAUUACAGGACACUCCAAAUUCAGGCACUGGGUCACCUUCAGUGACACUUGGCCAAGACACCAAAACCAACCACUUGCUCCUGGUGGGACAUGGAGUGCGACCCUUGGUCAGAACCGGCUCAGGGACAAAGUGUGCUGGACUUGAAGAUUCCAGACAUCGGCUUCCAAAAGAAGGAGCAAAUAAGUUGAAGGAAAGGAAGAAGAAAAGAUUUGUUGAGAUGGAGACUGCAGAAGCAGAUAACAGCGAUCCCUGGCUGCAGCCCCGAGAUGCUGGAGGAAGAAACGAAAGGUUACGUGAAAGAGGAUCGUUAAUAUUCAUGGCGGCAUCUGGUACUAUGUUGCCAGGAGACAGUAAUGAGAACAGAGCAUCUUCCAGGUCUAAUGGCACUGCAGCUGCCACAUCAAUCCCGCCGUCCCCAGAAAUGAGAUCUCUAUCAUUUGCAAACACGGAAGCGUUGGUGGCUUGGCUGUCAUUCCAGAAGGUCACUAAAAGAUAUGCAAAUGAGAUGCCCAUAUUUCUUGGGCUGACACCUACCAGGUUCCUUGCACAGCUCUGCCUUCAGGGACAUCUUCUGACAAGGCAACUCAUGCAGGGGUAG